GUACCUUAUUGGGGGUAGUGUGUUGUACUAUCCUCAGCUUUCAUCAAUAAGUUCAUACCAAUUGUAUGUAGAGGUAGUCUGCGAAGAGCUGGACUGGCUUUCUUUCUAUCCAGGAAAUAUUAGCACUCCAAAACUGGCGCAUGGCCAUGGAAAUAAGCAACAGGAUCCUCCAAAUGCUGAAGCUAUCCCCCAUCUAGUAGAUGUUUGCUCUUAUUGGAUGCAGAGCUUUAUUAAAUACAGUAAAUGGUUGGAGAACCCUUCCCAUGUUAAGGCAGCGAGGUUCUUGUCCAGGGGGCACAACAAAUUAAUGGAGUGCAUGGAAGAACUGGGGUUAUCUCGGAAAAUGAAAGAUAGC
rnacentral:misc_RNA from 1 species